CUAACUAAAGAACCCUAAAUAAAUUCCCUCUCCUCCUUCUAUCCGUGUGCUUUCGUUGUCGGUUCUCUCUCUGGUUCUCUCCUCUCCUCUCUUUUCCCUCUUCGGUUCCCUUCUCCUCCUCCUUCUCCUCCUCCUCCUCAACAACCGAGACCAAGGCCAAGGCCAGACGGACCUUAGCGGCCUCCUCUCCUCUCCCCUGCCUGCGGCGGCCUCCCUCUACCAGCUCUCGACUGACCGGCCUAGCGCCACCGGCCUCCCCCCCUAGCCGACCUCGUCCCUGUGACGCCUACCAUAACCGGAAGCGGCCGCGGCCUCCGCCGCUAGCGCCUACCCGCCGCCCCCGGCGCCCACGAUCACAGCCUCAGCCUCCUCAGCCACGAGCGCAGCCAGAGGCCCCUCCACCUCGUCCUCGCGCCCCCCUACUUCGCCCCCUUCCCCCCCUCCUUACCCGACGACGGCUCGAGCGACGCCUAGUAUAGCAGGACGGAGUUCUGCCAGAGCAGGUUGCAGCCGAGGCAGCGGAGGUGCCACGCGAGGCGGCCCCGGAGGCAGCGGCGGAGGUAGCGGGGGGUCCGGCUCCUGCUCUUCCUGGUCCAAAACACCCGACCUAAACUGUUUAAUCUCGAAGUAGGUAGUAGAAAGUUCGUACAAGACGAGCAACCAAUAAGAUUGCCCAAAGUUCACGAACUACAACUCCUACGACGUUUACAAACGCUUAACCAGAGUUUUGCGCUACCAGGUCAAUGGAAAAAUGUUUACGUUGGGUAUGGAGAAAUGAGACUUCUUUGACUUCCUAAAUCCCGUAGUGUAGGAUACGAAGACCAACAACGACCCCUACUCUGUUUACCGAACCCAUACCAAGUCCCACCCGCAAAUUCACGUGACUAGUCCCUAUGUUCGUGACUUGGAGUUUGACCUUUGACGUAGAGAUGGGGUUGUCAACAAGCGAAGAUAAGAAACUUCAGAGUGUGGAUGCAUGUACAAGAGUCUAAGGCUAGACGACAUAUAUAUCAAGCAACGUCGGGGGCCCAACACCGGCAUCGUGAACGUCGUGUUUAGAUGACGAAACUACGACAUUGAGAACUCUUGUUCAAGUCGCAGAACAGUAUAGGAAAUGUUCCCCGUGGACCCCGUUUAUAACCCAUACCAGGUUACAGACAACCGAGUUCUACCAACCGAAUACGAGGGUUACCAGGACACAAUAGGUCGUGACCAGCAGACUCGGGUGUUUUAGAGUGUGGAAGAGGUCCUCACUCGGGUAGAUGAAGAGGAUCGUUACCUUGGAAUCAACGAUCUAUACGUUACCUCAGGUCAUUCGUUUAUCGACGACCAUAUUAGUUAGAACCACUAUACCCCAUGUUUUGUGACAGCUUCAUGACGGUUCUUGAAGACGGACUACCAAGAUUAAGAGGAGACAGUAGUUCAGGUCCUUCCUCUAGACCGUUUGAAGGGAGGUGACACGUAGGUGACCUUCGACUGUUACGUCCUUGCCAAUAGUAGUUCCUACAAUGGAGGUUUUAACAAUAUCGUGUCAAAUCCCGAGUGUGGUCAGGAUAUAGACGAGAAACGAAGCUAGGAUCACCCUGGGAAAACCAGUGUCGGAGACAAGUACCGGUGUUGUAUUUACAAAAGGCCUAGUACGGCUGGACGUAACGAUUACCGAGUCCAAGUUUUGCUAUACUAACCCGUAGUAGAGUACAAGUGGAAAUGUUUGACAUAGCACCGUACUGUCGUCGCCAGUAUGUCCUGUAUAGAAAAUCAGUAAAAUCGGUCACCCAUAGAUAACAAAGUCGUGCUCCGUGAACGGUAUAAAAAUGUAACAGAGGUAAACCCCCGCUAAGCUCAAACGUCGGUGUCUUAAGAGUGUCACUGCCCGGCGGAGAACGGGGUACAGUCAGUUCCGGUACCACCAGUUUCGGUAGUAAAGAAUACCUAGUUGUCGAAGUAGGACACGGUAGUUGACACUGUUUAAGACACCAGUCAUCCUAUUUUUUGUUAUCAAGAUCAACCGAUUUAUGUCAGUCGUUGCACCGACGAAGACGUUCACCUUUUGAUAGGCACGGUAGACCACGAUAUUGACGAUAAAAAAUGUUAAGGUAAAUGUUUCCAAGAGACGGCCGAGGCAGCUUCCGAUUACGAAACCUCGUAAAUAACCACAUAAGUGGUAGACCAGUACAAUAAGUUGUACUUGAAGACGGAAGAAGCCCAAGACUUAGGAGACUAUUGUCGGGUUGUCAACCCGGACCGUCAGUAAACGUCGAGGUUCUACUACUCAACGUACAAUGGCGACUCGGUCAAGUUACCACCCUACAAACGGCGGCCUGUUUGACCGGACUUUCUCUGGUCCUGUAACGUUUACAACAUAAGGUGUUGGUUGAUUUGUCAUACUACUGUGGUCUGUGAAGACUGACACUCCUAUCACUGGUAAGACUAAAGUGAAGUAGUUUACUACCACAUAGGUCUUUUCUCCAAUACUUUCAAUUUCUUUCUAGUUCGACCAUAGAGAGUUUACGUCUCCAAGUCUAUUCGAGUACCGCCUAAGGGUAUACCCUCUUCAGAUUCUAAACGAAGAUGCACUACCUAGUAGGACGAUGUCUCAGUCCCCUUCGACAACCGUAAGUACCACCCCUUUAACUCUAGCUUUUCGACCGAGAAGUACUCCAACUUGACUCCUCCCUUGACGAGGGACACAAAUUCGUCAAGGUGAUAGGACUCGUUUUAUCCUUAGUACGUUCGGCGGUUUAAGUCUUACGUAAUAGGCCGUAGCUGUCGUGUGUCAUAUCGAGCCGUUUCCUAUCACUACGUAUACCAGGGUUUGGUCACGGAGUAUAUAGACCUAAAAUGUGACUAUACUCUUUUUGUCUUUUGUACUUACAAAAUCGACCCGUCAAUAAAAGACCUGGAUGAGGACGACACCUAAACGACGGUUUCCUUUUUACGUUAAGAUAACCUAGAGGACUUCGAUCUUUAAACUGACAGUUAGUGUUUCAUCUAUUGCCCUCGUAACCGAUAAACAGAUGUGGUUAGCCUUGUUUACAUAGGUGGUAGUACGGAGUCAGAUCUCUCCCACACCUAACACAUGGUAGCGUGUAGUCUGGUAACUCGUUGAUAAGGGAGAACCUACCUGGAGAACUAUUACCUAGUGGAAGGGGACGUUCAUUGCCUAGUACACCCGGACUUUAUUGGUUAUUAAGCAGUCAGUCGUUACCACGGUAAUGACUAUAGGGUUUACCCCCAGUGUGCUCGCAGUUAAGGCCUGUCUUACUUUACGGGCCAAGAGUCUUGAGACCUCUCAAAUGGGUCAUAAAGGUUCUCCCGAUAACAUUUUAUAGUCUUGAGCUACUGACGGCACUCAAUUGACUUCGACAAUGACUACGACUGUCGUCGUCGUCGGUGACGCUCUCUCUCUUCGGGCUCCUUCUACCCCUGUUGCUACUGUACGAACCUCCCCAAAAGCGGAAGUCACUUCUUCCAACUUGAAUGAUAUGACGAAAUGAACCCUAUCUAUUACCAUUUGUCAACGGUGUUGUUAGUCACACGUUAUAAUACAUCUUUUACCACCUUAAGAUCAUCCGAAGGCACCUUAUUUCAGCACGGCGCAGCUAUUAGAUUACAAACCAUGUAUGAACCUUCCACUUCGAACGCGAGGUACAAAUAAACGGUCUUCUCGAGACCUCAAACUCAGCUUCUGGGGAGGACCGUUAAAUGAUUAGGUGCCUUCCUUCCCUCAAACCACAAACAGCUCUUCGACGGUGACGGACGGCGCUGUGAACCGGGUGGGAAAAAGACAAACGAAACAUGUAUGACAUUCUGGGUAAACAAAGCGCUCUAUGUGAAGACCCUGUAAACCUACCAGACUUUGGGACCGCUCGGUAUAAACAACUGACGAAGGACGGUCCCGGACACUUACAAGGUACAAAUAAACAUGUAUGAAAGGACAAAUAAUUCUCUUUCCUUACGAUCGUUGCUAAUUACACUGUAUUGACAUAUUUGUAAGUCACUUUCUAAAGACAAAUACUUCAGCUAUACAAGAGAAG
rnacentral:rRNA from 1 species